rnacentral:rRNA from 1 species
GACGAACGCUGGCGGCGUGCUUAACACAUGCAAGUCGAACGGAAAGGCCCUGCUUGCAGGGUACUCGAGUGGCGAACGGGUGAGUAACACGUGGGUGAUCUGCCCUGCACUUCGGGAUAAGCCUGGGAAACUGGGUCUAAUACCGGAUAGGAGCCAUUUUUAGUGUGAUGGUUGGAAAGUUUUUUCGGUGUAGGAUGAGCUCGCGGCCUAUCAGCUUGUUGGUGGGUAAUGGCCUACCAAGGCGGCGACGGGUAGCCGGCCUGAGAGGGUGGACGGCCACAUUGGGACUGAGAUACGGCCCAGACUCCUACGGGAGGCAGCAGUGGGGAAGAUUGCACAAUGGGCGCAAGCCUGAUGCAGCGACGCCGCGUGGGGGAUGACGGCCUUCGGGUUGUAAACGCCUUUCGCUAGGGACGAAGCUUUUUGUGACGGUACCUAGAUAAGAAGCACCGGCUAACUACGUG